rnacentral:ncRNA from 1 species
AGACAAAUAGGUUUGGUCCUAGCCUUUCUAUUGACCCUUUGCAAGAUUACACAUGCAGGCAUCCCCGUCCCAGUGAAGACACCCUACAAAUCAUUAUGACCAAGAGGAGUAAGUAUCAAGCACGCACACGCAGCUCAAAACACUUUGCUUAGCCACACCCCCACGGGAAACAGCAGUGACAAACCUUUAGUAAUAAACGAAAGUUUAACUAAGCUAUGCUACACCAAGGGUUGGUCAAUUUCGUGCCAGCCACCGCGGCCAUACGAUUAACCCAAGCCAAUAGAGAUCGGCGUAGAGAGUGUUUUAGAUCUAAUACAAUAAAGCUAAACCCCAUCUAAACUGUAAAAUCCUAGCUAACAUAAAAUAAACUACGAAAGUGGCUUUAAAACCUCUGAAUACACAACAGCUAAGACCCAAACUGGGAUUAGAUACCCCACUGUGCUUAGCCUUAAACCUCAAUAGUUAAAACAACAAAACUACUCACCAGAAUACUACAAGCAACAGCUUGAAACUCAAAGGACUUGGCGGUGCUUCACAUCCCCCUAGAGGAGCCUGUUCCAUAAUCGAUAAACCCCGAUCCACCCCACCCUCUCUUGCUCAGCCUAUAUACCGCCAUCUUCAGCGAACCCUGAUGAAGGUUACAAAGUGAGCGCAAAUGCCCUUCCUCGCAAAAACGUUAGGUCAAGGUGUAGCCUAUGAGAUGGUGAAAAUGGGCUACAUUUCUUUUUUUUUUUUUUUGUAGAUGGAGUCUGGCUUUGUCUCCCAGGCUGGAGUGCAGUGGCCGGAUCUCAGCUCACUGCAAGCUCCGCCUCCCGGGUUUACGCCAUUCUCCUGCCUCAGCCUCCCGAGUAGCUGGGACUACAGGCGCCCGCCACCUCGCCCGGCUAGUUUUUUGUAUUUUUUUAGUAGAGACAGGGUUUCACCGUGUUCGCCAGGAUGGUCUCGAUCUUCUGACCUCGUGAUCCGCCCGUCUCGGCCUCCCAAAGUGCUGGGAUUACAGGCUUGAGCCACCACGCCCGGCAAUGGGCUACAUUUUCUAUCUCAGAAAACCCCACGAUAACUCUUAUGAAAUCUAAGAGUCCAAGGAGGAUUUAGCAGUAAAUUAAGAAUAGAGUGCUUAAUUGAACCAGGCCAUAAAGCACGCACACACCGCCCGUCACUCCCCUCAAAUAUACUUAAGGACCAUCUUAACUAAACACCCUAAUAUUUAUAUAGAGGGGAUAAGUCGUAACACCGUAAGUGUACUGGAAGGUGCACUUGGAUAAAUCAAGGU